rnacentral:rRNA from 1 species
GAUGAACGCUGGCGGCGUGCCUAAUACAUGCAAGUCGAGCGAACAGACGAGGAGCUUGCUCCUCUGACGUUAGCGGCGGACGGGUGAGUAACACGUGGAUAACCUACCUAUAAGACUGGGAUAACUUCGGGAAACCGGAGCUAAUACCGGAUAAUAUAUUGAACCGCAUGGUUCAAUAGUGAAAGACGGUUUUGCUGUCACUUAUAGAUGGAUCCGCGCCGCAUUAGCUAGUUGGUAAGGUAACGGCUUACCAAGGCAACGAUGCGUAGCCGACCUGAGAGGGUGAUCGGCAACACUGGAACUGAGACACGGUCCAGACUCCUACGGGAGGCAGCAGUAGGGAAUCUUCCGCAAUGGACGGAAGCCUAACGGAGCAACGCCGCGUGAGUGAUGAAGGUCUUCGGAUAGUAAAACUCUGUUAUUAGGGAAGAAAAAAUGUGUAAGUAACUAUGCACGUCUUGACGGUACCUAAUCAGAAAGACACGGCUAACUACGUG